GUUAGGAAUAUUGGACAAUGGGCGAAAGCCUGAUCCAGCCAUGCCGCGUGAACGAUGAAGGCCUUCGGGUUGUAAAGUUCUUUAGCCGAUGAUUAUAAUGACUGUAGUCGGAAAAUAAGCCCCGGCUAACUUCGUGCCAGCAGCCGCGGUAAUACGAAGGGGGCGAGCGUUAUUCGGAAUCACUGGGCGUAAAGCGUGCGUAGGCGGAUUUGUAAGUUAGGAGUGAAAGCCCAGGGCUCAACCUUGGAAUUGCUCUUAAAACUGCAAGGCUCGAAUCUCGGAGAGGAUAGCGCAAUUUCCAGUGUAGCAGUGAAAUGCGUAGAUAUUGGAAGGAACACCAGUGGCGUAAGCGGCUAUCUGGACGAGUAUUGACGCUGAGGCACGAAAGCGUGGGGAUCAAACAGGAUUAGAAACCCCGGUAGUCC
rnacentral:rRNA from 1 species